rnacentral:rRNA from 1 species
UACGAAGGGGGCUAGCGUUGCUCGGAAUCACUGGGCGUAAAGCGCACGUAGGCGGAUCUUUAAGUCAGGGGUGAAAUCCCAAGGCUCAACCUUGGAACUGCCUUUGAUACUGGCGAUCUCGAGUUCGGGAGAGGUGAGUGGAACUGCGAGUGUAGAGGUGAAUUCGUAGAUAUUCGCAAGAACACCAGUGGCGAAGGCGGCUCACUGGCCCGAUACUGACGCUGAGGUGCGAAAGCGUGGGGAGCAACAGG